GCACGCUCUCGCUCUGUCUCAGGCCUGCACAAACUCCUGGCUGUGUUGCACUUUAUGGCUACUGGGAGCUUCCAGGCUGUGACUGGUGAUGUAAUUGGUAUCUCCCAGCCAACCUUUUCAAAAUAUUUAAAUCAGGUGAGUUGAAACAUACAUACACGUCUAUGUCUAAGUGUUGCUUCUGUUAUGUGUUAUAACACAGUAUUGUAUUGCUUACAGAUCAUGACACUCACCUUAUAUUUUGUAAUGUCCACUCAGGUUUUGGAUGUCUUGGAACCCCACAUAGAUGCCUCUGUCUGCUUCCCUACCCAGGAGUCGCAGUGGCAUGCAGUCAGGGUAGCUUUCUAUGAGCUUGCUGGCAUGCCCAAUGUGCUGGGUGCCAUAGAUUGCACACACGUUGAGCUGAGACCACCUAGGGGCAGGCAAUAUAUUUAUACAAAUAGACAUAUGGGCCAAUCCACUAAUGUCCAGGUGGUUUGUGAUGCAAAUCUAAAAAUUAUGAGUGUGGUUGCAGGUUACCCUGGCGGCUGCCAUGACUCCUUCAUCCUCAGUCAGUCAUCCCUCUUCGAUAAGUUUGAGGACGGACAAAUGCCUGAUGGCUGGCUGCUGGGUGAUGGUGGUUAUGGCUGCUACUCUUGGCUCCUUACUCCAUUGUCCCAACCUGAUUCUCCUGCUGAACACAAUUAUAAUAAUGCACAUAAGUCUACGCAGAAUGUGAUAGAAAGAUGUUUUGGGGUGCUGAAAUCUAGGUUUCGGUGUCUGGAUAAGUCUGCUGGGCUUUUGUUGUAUAGUCCCUCAAAGGUGACUAGGAUUGUGUUCUGCUGCUGUUUUCUUCAUAACAUGUGUUUGCGCCAACAUCUGCCACAUGUUGGUGAUGAAGAAAACAGCCAGCAAGUAGGUGAGUUAGAUACAUCUGGUGACAGUGUGAGUACAGAUGUAGGGAGGCAGGUAAGGCAAGAAGUGAUUCGGCGUUAUUUUAACGACAGCUGAGGUGAUUGUGGAUCCUCGCUUUGUGGACUGGCCAAAAUUGCUUGUGGUGGCAGGGACGACACUGCGGAGAUGUGCCGUUGGGGUGGUGAUGAUGGUGCUGCUGAUUCAGCCUCAAGACGGCGUCUCUUGGUUGGCCUCCUAGGCACAGUCACCGAGCCCUGUGUUGGCCGCCUCAGUGGAGGGGGGUUUGCAGAAGAAGAACCUAUGUGAUAAGAGAAACAUUAACAUUUUGUGUUUCUAUGUAUUUGAAGAAUAUGUGUUUACAGUUAAAUCUUACCUGCAUUCCCACCAUCUGCAUCACUUGGCAGUGUUGGAUGUGGCCUGGCUGUGCUGCUUCUCUUUCGUACUGAAAAAAUAUGAAGAAUGACCUUAUCAACAUACUAUUUUUUAUCAAUGUUUUUGCAAAAUCCUUAUUGUGAUGUAAACAUAUGUUGAACCUGAUGAUAAGUAAA